CGUGAUAAAGAGCGCGCUGUAUGCAAAAGAUAGUGGCACAAGCUACACUUGAUUCGAGCUCGGCGGAAACUCACUGCGAAGCAUGCCCUUGCACAAUCGAAUUAAUGACAGGAAGCAAUGAUACAAUUACUCUGCAGCCACUUAUUAAACAGAGGCUUGGCUGCGUUCAGCUGUGAUUGCCCGAGAACCAAGAGAAUCCAGUGAAAUCUCGCCGUCUCGUGUCGCCGUGAAUUAGUUUAGCAAGAUCAGCGUGCUCUGAUUCCAGCAACUUUUUCUGCUGAAUCUCGUUACGCGUAACUAACGGAGGAUUAAAACGGUUGGCUUGUGAAAAACUAAGCAAAUAAAUAAUUAAAUAUAUAAAUAAAUAGGUAGAUACCUGGUUGGAAGGAAAAGGAAAAGCGCAAGACUAAUGAGAAAAACUCGACGAAAUUUUACGUGAAACGAGAAUAUCGUAAGAAACUCUCAAGAAUUAUGCAAGGAAUUUUUAUUUCGUGUAGAAAGAAAACAUUUAAGUGGUAAUUACUGACAAUUGCAGUGGAAUCAGUCGUAAUUGCGCCAGACAAGGUACAAGAGACUGUUAUACAAUAAAUUUCUUCACGGAAUGCAGUUAAAAACGUUGAUAAAUUAUCGUUGGAUAUAGAAAAUGGAUAAAAGGAAUUGGAAACUCGCGUAUAACGAUGUUUGGCUUCAUAUGUGAAAUGUGUACAUUACAAUCAUAAUAUGAAAGACAAAGUAGGAUAAAGCGAUAGGUCCAUGUCUAUGCCAUUCAUACUACUAGACAAUUAAACAAAAAUAUCUAAUCUGUUGGAGAUUGAAAGACAAGUUAUGCUAGCAGUAGAUUAAGGAAUGACUACAAAUGACUGUAUUUCCGUCGCAUCAACUGUUUUCAAGGAUAGCAGAUUCAGCUAUCUCCGUCCCCGAAUACAAGAUUCGACAACACACUGUCCCAAGAGAAACGUAUACCAAUAUUUAACCAUAUCCAGUCUGCGGCUAUUUCUGUAGAAUACCAAAAGAUAUGGUUUCGUAGAAUAAAAUUCUCCGAUAAUUUGAAAUCCAUGUAAAAUCGAAGUUGCCAUCGAAGCGUGCAAUAUUUUAUAAUUGACAUAGCGAAAUAGCGUAACAAGGCCGCGUAUUGUAUCCAAGUUUUUCCUCAAGAUAUUAACAAACCUUUUGCUCGCCGAAACAGAAAGCAGCGAGAUUCAGCCAUGAAAACUGAUGCAUCGCAGCACAGAAUUAAAUCCAUCGAAGUUCAAAGUCGCCAACGAAGCGUGCGAUAUUUUACAACUAACAUAGCGAAAUAGCGUAACAAUACGACCAAUUGUGUUAAGAGCUUUUCCUCCAGAUACUAAGAUACUUUUUCUUUUUGUUUGUCGAAACAAGAGCGAGAUACAGCCAUGAAGAAUCGCGGCAGAAUUAAAUCUCAUCGAAGUUCAAAGUCGCCAUCGAAGCGUGCGAUAUUCUACGUUAACACAGCCAGACAGCAAGUAACGAUGCCGCGUAUUAAAGUCUUCUCCUAAGAUAUUAAAACGCUCCUUUCAUAGUGCCGAGGCGAGAGUGAAAUUCGUCCGUGGAAAUUGGAGGAUCGCGAUGGAACCGAGUCCAAUCGAAUGAAAAUUCAGAGUCGCGAUCGAAGCGUGCAACGUUUCGAAAAUUCUCCGGGAUAUUGAGAGAGACACGGCGAGAUAGUGUCGCGAUACAGCGUUACCACUGUCACCGGAAGAGGGAAACGAGGGAAACGAGGGAAACCUGGAGCAAUCGAGGGGUGGUCCGAGUGACAUUAAAGGGUGUCGCGAGUCCUAAAUUGCAGGCCGGCUGGCUAUGUUCGCCCUGUUCCAGCAAGAUAGGGACUCGUUUUGCGUUCGCCGGCAACAGAUACAAAUUUUCUCCACUUAAUUCCAUCGGCCGUAGAAGUCUAAUUGCGCGGGCGACAAGCUGGAAAAGAGUGUCGUUUAAACGUGGGCCCCCGUGGAAAAACCGACGCCCUCUGUAACUGCAUUCGCCGUAAAAUUCCCGUGAAUCUUCGUUCUGCAACCGGAAAAACGCCGGAAGACGUCGUUGCCCGAAGAUGAAUCUACCGUCGAAUAAAUCUCGUCGUGCGAGUUAUACGAAGAGGACGAGGAUCGAUGCUGCCUGGUGACAAUUAAUCCAUUAAAUCCGAGGAUUAUCGAACUGCUACGAGAAAGAACUUUGCGAUAAUCGUAACGAGUUGGCUCGCAGUAAUUGCAACGAGUUGGCGUCGCUGAUGCUAUACCGGUGGUCGGCGAUGUACAAACUGUAAUACUAUGAAUCUUAGUGCCUCGAAGCGUAAUGCCAUGGAGCAUCGUACAACGGGACAGAGCACAGAACUGCGAAGCACAGUGCCAUAAACCAUAAAACGCAGAGAGCAUUAUGAAUCACGAAGCCACAGUAAAUAUCGGAAUUCGCAAUUCCUAUAUCCACCGAAUCAACGCUCGGCCAUUCUAAAUAUCACCAGACGUAAAUUACGAACACAGUGAAAUAAAUCAGCUUCUAUUCGUUGGUGCAACGAGAUUACCACUUUCUCAACCGCCCACGCCACCAAACGUAAUCGCCCGGUAAGCCUGUGCCAAGCAACUGCACAGGUAGACGAGGUACGCUUUACGUAAGACGUUAAUUACACCGCCUUCUAACUUCGCCCUUUAAUUAAAACGCGUAACACAACCAGCAGAACUGGUCUUCGAUUUUUCGAGCAACCGAACCUUUUCACUUCCUCCCCGGUUCUAGUUGGAGAAAGACGAAGAACCAGCUUUCGGAUCGCUACAGGCUACGACGGUGUGUUCUGUCUCGUUUCCCUUCUGGAACAACCUGUCGGCGUGCGUGCCGCGCGAUCUUUUAAAACCAACGUCCACGGGACGCGAGUAUCGGUGAAGGUGCACGCGCGCGUGUAUAACUCGGUUUUCCUUAAUAAACCGCAGCGACGCGACGCCGCGCCGCGAGAAACGUGAGAACGUCGAGGGCGACGAUUCAAGGAGAGAAUUUAUUAUUCGACGCGUUGCAUACUGCACCGGCGGUGAAUUCUCCGGUGACUACAAGAAAUUUACAAACGAAGCUUCAGCCAACCGCGUCUCGAUGCAAUGGAAAACCUGACUACGCCUCGGUUAUCGUAUUUUCCUUUCCGACUGUGUAUGUAUUAUAUAUGGCAGAGAUCAAGUUAUUAUUUUGCUUUUUCUUCUCCUUUCGGUAACCAUUAAAGGAGGAUUGAAAAGAGCCUCUGCUGUUCUUGUUUCUGGUGACUUUCCGCGAUCGAGCGUAGCUCGUUCUUCAUGGUCCUUUGGCCAAGCUUCAUAAUAGCAAAGUGUUUAUUCCUCUAUAGAUAUUUCUACGCAAGAAAGAUUUAGCGCUACCGCAAUGCGUACAGGCGAUCUUUACGCUCCAAGCUCACGCACAUUCAUUGUAAAUAUAUCUACGACCAAACGACUAACCAGGAUUGCUUUCCCACGCGUUUCGAUUUUGUCGCAAACUUCCUAUCGCUCCAACGAAACUACCGGUCGUCAAGAUGUUAAUACAAGGGUCUGUCAAAGUGUCAUUUUUCCAUCUAGAAUCUCGCCAAUUCUGCGAGAGAUUCUCGGAAAAACGCCCAUCGGGGCCAAAGUAUUCAUCUUCGACGUAUCAAAGUCGACUGCACACCUGGCGAUAGCAAAGAACGAACGAUAGAAGAAGGAAUGAUGGAAGAGCGACAUUUUUCACGGGCGAAACAAGGGGCAGAGUACGGAGAUGAUUUUCAUUUAUCCUUGAUUCUCUGGACGGGGAGCGGGAAAAAAGCGUGCGAAGAGGAUGAAGAAACAGGCACGAGCUGCUCGCUAAUCCCUUAAGAGCGUAGCGAACGAAGGGCCGAAGAGCCCGGAGGUAGCGGAAAAAAGGCGCGAUACAAUCCCAUCGGGAGCGGGUUUCAUUGAAAUGCCGAGGAGUUUGCAAGAAAAACAGCAUCUGGGUUAAAUUCCCGAGGAUCUUUCGGCUCCAGUCAGCUUUUCCGGCACGGCUGAUAGAAUUCCCCUUGCGAGCCCGUGAAACAACAGAAGCGGAAGGCUGUGAGGAGCCGAGAGAGCCAACGACGUCGACGAGUUUCUUCUAGCUGUCGGCGAUGUCGCAACGACGAACCAGCCUGACUUUCGGCGCCCGCGGGAAAUAACGCCGUGGACCGAGCUGCAAAUAUGCGCAUCACAGCCGUGAGAUUCCCGAAAGAAGAAUUGGACGACUGCUGUUAGACCAGCGAUAGGAAUUUUUAGGGAAAGACGAGAAGGCAAGAAUCACGAAGAAGUUUGAUUCUUUUAGUUGAUUCUUUAAAUACUACAGUCGGUCGCAAAGAUAUUCGUACACGGAAUAACAUUUUAAGAAUUGGACUUGUGCUACUUUUGGAGCAAACUGGAGGGAUCAGUUGGCGAAAAUGACGUGUGAUGGAAAUUUGUUGAAAAUUGGAAUUGGUAGAAACGACGAUGGAAGUCGUAGAAAGAUACAACCUUCUUAUCUGGGUUUCUAAUGAAAAUUUUGACAACACAUUUUAUAUAAUGUGUAUAAUAUAUUAUACACUACAGAAAUAUAGCCAAAGAAAAAUUACCAAAGUAAAAGGACAAUACUGGCCAAAAGAAGAAUACUGGCAAGAUUCAGAUGUGGAAACGAGACCAAAGCAAGGGAAUACUGGAAA